GGCAAGGUAGCCAAGCGGUCUACGGCGCCAGGUUCAGGUCAACCUGAAUUCUCUCUCCUGGUCUCAGAAAUGGGGCGUGGGUUCGAAUCCCACCCUUGUCA